rnacentral:misc_RNA from 1 species
AGAGGAAGACGACAGUUUCCAGUUCUUUUUCUUUCUGCACUCAUCCAUGUCUAUCUGCUCCUGUCUGCACUCUUUGCUACAAAACGGUGUAUUCCCUCUGUACAUGAAGAUAUCAGUGUUACACCCAAGCGGUUUCCGGCAAAGAAAACAUGCUUCAAGGAAGUGAGGCUCGUGGCCGUAGUAAGACAUGAUCGAUCUUUACGUUAAAGAAUGAAAUAAAAAAACCCAGCGUUUAAAGCUCUGGUAAGCAGACGCUGAAAGAAGGAGAAGGAAGCAAUUCCGGGACGGAAAAAC